GACUAAAAAUAAUCUUCAUUUCCAGUUGACGUUUCUAUUAACUUUUAAUGCGAGUUCGGGAAAAACUAAUUAGCUCCGAUAUUUUACUUUCUGACUAUCUAAAAUAGAUAAUAAUGUCUGUAGAUUACUUACAAGUUGCAGAGGACGAAGGUGAAGAACCCAUAGAGUUACCAUUAGAGGAUGAUGGUACCCUUCUACUCAGCACCUUGUCAGCUCAAUUUCCCGGUUCCUCAGGUUUAAAAUUUCGAAAUCCCGACACCAAAGCAAUUCGUGGAGUGAGAUUGAGCGAAGGCCGUUUACAUCCUCCCCACGAUGAUGGUUGGGGCUCUACAAUUUUUCACUGCGUUUUUCCAAAAGAAAAUAAAAGGAAAUCCGAUGAUAACCUGGAGAAUUCAACAGCCAAAACAAAAAGAAUGGAAACAAAAUUGAGAUGUACAGAUUUGAUUGUUCUUGGGUUACCUUGGAAAACUACGGAACAAAACCUCAGAGAAUAUUUUGAAACAUUUGGUGAAGUUUUAAUGGCUCAGGUGAAAAAAGAUACAAAGACAGGACAGUCGAAAGGCUUUGGUUUCAUCAGAUUUGGUUCAUACGAGUCACAAAUGAGAGUUUUAGCCCAGAGACAUAUGAUAGAUGGUAGAUGGUGUGAUGUAAAAGUCCCGAAUUCAAAGGAAGGAUUGAUUCAGCAAGUACCAUGUAAAGUUUUUGUGGGCAGGUGUACUGAAGAUAUGACUUCUGAUGAUUUAAAAGAAUACUUUAGCAAGUUUGGUGAAGUUACAGAUGUAUUCAUACCCAGGCCAUUCAGAGCUUUCAGUUUUGUAACUUUCCUAGAUCCUGAAGUGGCACAGAGUCUUUGUGGGGAAGACCACAUAAUUAAAGGUGUCUCUGUUCAUGUAUCGAAUGCUGCACCAAAGUCCGAGAAUAGAACUUCAAAUUUUGCAAACAAUGGACCUAGAGGUGGUCCACAUGGAAAUAACAGAGAUAUGAGAGGACCAGAGGGACCGAAUAUGUACCAGCAAAAUAGGUAUAAUAAUCCAAAUGCUGGCCCGAACCAAGGUAAUUGGGGUAACCAGGGUGGUGGACCACGAGCAAACAUUGAUAUGCCUAAUCUGCAAGCAUUAGGGAUAAAUGGUCAAGGUCAAGGGAGUAACUCCCAAAGUGUGAACCCCCUUGGAUUGGGCCUGAAUUUGGGUCUGCCUAUGAAUCCAGCGCUUGUUGCAGCUGCUUUGAAUCAAGCUGGGUGGGGUCUGAUUGGUAAUCUCCAGAACCAAGAGCCAAACUUCAAUCAAGGCUUCAAUAGUGGACCAAAUAACUCGAGUGGGGGCAACCAAGGAGGUAACCCAAACCAAGGACCAAACAAUCAGAAUCCAGGAUUUCUCAAUUGGAUGAAUCAAGGACCUGGUGGUCAGCAGAGUCAGGAUGGUCCCCAGUGGUCGAGGAAUUCGAAUCAACCGCCUUCCGACAAGGCAUUCCUCAAAAGUGGAAGAUUGUCAAGAGAGAGAGGUGAUGUAAUUUCACUGGUAUAAAUGAUGGUGGUUUGUUCUAUGGAUUUUGUCUUUAUGUGGAAAGAGAGUUGUUAUUUUAGUUUAUCGUGUGUACUGGUAAGCGGACUUUAUAGAUAAUCAUGUGUUAGCACAUCUGCAUAUUAUUAUGAAGAAAAGUUGAAUUAUGUGUUAAGAGCCUUUGUGAAGAUGACUUCAAAAUAAAAAUGCUGAAAUGUAAUUGAUAUAUGGAAUGUGAAUUGUAUGAGAGGUAAUAUAAUGUGUGAUGUGAACUGGUUUUUCAUUGAAUUAGUUUUUAUAGUAUUAGCUAGUAGUUAUUCUUGAAGGAAAGAAUAUUUUCCUGUGAAUUCUUAUGCAUAUAUGGGUAACUGAUACUGAUCAAAUGAACAAGGAGAUCCAAGAGCAUUCCUGCAUCGGAGAAUUAUCAUAUUUCAAGCCUAUUUAAUAUUUAAAUCAAUGAGGAAUGCUGGAUGAUCUGAAUUCUUCAGUCUUAAUAUUGAUAUUUGAAAGUAUAAAUAAAAGUUGGAAGAAUGAAUCUGGUAAUGAUUAGUUGCUGUUAUCAGGGUGUAUUCUUGAGAUUUUACCCUUGAAAUUCAAUUCUUAACUCGCUAAAAAUAUUAGGGAUUCUUGGCUGAAAAGGAUUACUCCUUUUAAAGUUUUCCAUUGAAUUACUUGUAGUAACAUCUGCUCUCCAAAAAUGAUUAAGAUAUUUAUCAAUCAAUUUUGAUCAUCUGAACCUUUAAUGACAUAUUUAAUUUUUUUGCAAGAAAAGAAACUACAUUUUCUUAUCAGUGAAAGAGAAGUAGGGUCCAUCAGCUGCUCCAAAUAUUAUACAGGGUGUUUUAAUCGAAAUGUCCGCUAGGAGUAUAUAUUUAGAGAACCAAAUGAGGUUUUUUCAGAAAAUUUGUGGAAUAUAAUGAAUAGUCUUGAAUUGUUAUAACUUUUUAUUGACAAAAGUUAAAGUGUUGAGAAUAGUACUAACAUCGUAGAAUACUUUUUAGUAUUUGAAAUAACGAAGUUUUAACAUAUUACAGUGUAACACACUCAUUUUUGAUCAUAAUCUCAUUUGAUUAUUUAGAUACUCCUAGUGGCUCCAUGAAUGGAACACCCUGUAUGUGCUCAUUUGAUAUCUCAAUUGCGCAGUUUGAGUUGAGAUGUCAUAGGAGCACAAACAAUACUAAUAUAGGAAGGAAAUUAGAAAUAUUUUGCUAACUGGAAAUUCUAUUCUGUAUGAAACUGAUUGAUGUAGAUAGAUUCUAUCAUUGUGUGUGAGAACCCGAUUGGUGAUGAAAUGUAUGAGAAGAGGAGAGAGAAAUUUCGUAGUAACUUGAUCUGAAGUCUGCUUAAGAAGCUGUAGAUUGUGAAUGGAGAUGCAUUUCAUCGUUUCAAUGCGAGUAUUCUACAGAUCAACAAAGACAUGAGUUUUCGGAUUUUCCCCGAUGAAAAAAGUUAUUCAUAUUUGAUGAGAACGAGAGUUAUCAAGGGUGGAAAGAUUGAAACAGAUGUCUGAAGAUUAUGGUUUAUCCGAAGGAGGGGUAAGAGAUAACCUUGAAUAUGGAAAGUUUCCAAGAAGCAAUAAACACAAAUAAGUGAAUUCUGUAUCACAAGAUAAGAGAAUAUGUAAUUUCUCGGCAAAUAAAGAGAAUGUCAGUACA